rnacentral:rRNA from 1 species
UACGGGAGGCAGCAGUGAGGAAUAUUGGUCAAUGGGCGGAAGCCUGAACCAGCCAUGCCGCGUGCAGGAAUGAGGCCCUAUGGGUCGUAAACUGCUUUUGUGGCGGAGCAAUAAGGUCUACGUGUAGACUGAUGAGAGUACGUCACGAAUAAGCAUCGGCUAACUCCGUGCCAGCAGCCGCGGUAAU